rnacentral:rRNA from 1 species
AGUGAACGCUGGCGGUAGGCCUAACACAUGCAAGUCGAACGGCAGCACAGGAGAGCUUGCUCUCUGGGUGGCGAGUGGCGGACGGGUGAGGAAUACAUCGGAAUCUACUCUGUCGUGGGGGAUAACGUAGGGAAACUUACGCUAAUACCGCAUACGACCUACGGGUGAAAGCAGGGGACCUUCGGGCCUUGCGCGAUUGAAUGAGCCGAUGUCGGAUUAGCUAGUUGGCGGGGUAAAGGCCCACCAAGGCGACGAUCCGUAGCUGGUCUGAGAGGAUGAUCAGCCACACUGGAACUGAGACACGGUCCAGACUCCUACGGGAGGCAGCAGUGGGGAAUAUUGGACAAUGGGCGCAAGCCUGAUCCAGCCAUACCGCGUGGGUGAAGAAGGCCUUCGGGUUGUAAAGCCCUUUUGUUGGGAAAGAAAGCCAGCUGGCUAAUACCCGGCUGGGAUGACGGUACCCAAAGAAUAAGCACCGGCUAACUUCGUGCCAGCCGCCGCCGUAA